GCCCCCAGGUCAGCGACCAAGAUCAUGCCCGCCCUUUCAAGGCGGUAGCACGGGUUCGAAUCCCGUUGGGGGCA
rnacentral:tRNA from 1 species